GGCUCCGUAGUGUAGUGGUUAGCACGUCUGCUUUACACCUAGAAGGGCCUGGAUUCACACCCUAGCUGGAGCCA
rnacentral:tRNA from 1 species